rnacentral:rRNA from 1 species
UGCAGUCGAGCGAACAGACAAGGAGCUUGCUCCUUUGACGUUAGCGGCGGACGGGUGAGUAACACGUGGGUAACCUACCUAUAAGACUGGGAUAACUUCGGGAAACCGGAGCUAAUACCGGAUAAUAUUUCGAACCGCAUGGUUCGAUAGUGAAAGAUGGUUUUGCUAUCACUUAUAGAUGGACCCGCGCCGUAUUAGCUAGUUGGUAAGGUAACGGCUUACCAAGGCGACGAUACGUAGCCGACCUGAGAGGGUGAUCGGCCACACUGGAACUGAGACACGGUCCAGACUCCUACGGGAGGCAGCAGUAGGGAAUCUUCCGCAAUGGGCGAAAGCCUGACGGAGCAACGCCGCGUGAGUGAUGAAGGUCUUCGGAUCGUAAAACUCUGUUAUUAGGGAAGAACAUACGUGUAAGUAACUGUGCACGUCUUGACGGUACCUAAUCAGAAAGCCACGGCUAACUACGUGCCAGCAGCCGCGGUAAUACGUAGGUGGCAAGCGUUAUCCGGAAUUAUUGGGCGUAAAGCGCGCGUAGGCGGUUUUUUAAGUCUGAUGUGAAAGCCCACGGCUCAACCGUGGAGGGUCAUUGGAAACUGGAAAACUUGAGUGCAGAAGAGGAAAGUGGAAUUCCAUGUGUAGCGGUGAAAUGCGCAGAGAUAUGGAGGAACACCAGUGGCGAAGGCGACUUUCUGGUCUGUAACUGACGCUGAUGUGCGAAAGCGUGGGGAUCAAACAGGAUUAGAUACCCUGGUAGUCCACGCCGUAAACGAUGAGUGCUAAGUGUUA